UGGGGAAUAUUGCACAAUGGGCGCAAGCCUGAUGCAGCCAUGCCGCGUGUGUGAAGAAGGCCUUCGGGUUGUAAAGCACUUUCAGCGAGGAGGAAGGUGGUGAGCUUAAUACGCUCAUCAAUUGACGUUACUCGCAGAAGAAGCACCGGCUAACUCCGUGCCAGCAGCCGCGGUAAUACGGAGGGUGCAAGCGUUAAUCGGAAUUACUGGGCGUAAAGCGCACGCAGGCGGUUUGUUAAGUCAGAUGUGAAAUCCCCGGGCUCAACCUGGGAACUGCAUUUGAAACUGGCAAGCUAGAGUCUCGUAGAGGGGGGUAGAAUUCCAGGUGUAGCGGUGAAAUGCGUAGAGAUCUGGAGGAAUACCGGUGGCGAAGGCGGCCCCCUGGACGAAGACUGACGCUCAGGUGCGAAAGCGUGGGGCAGCAAACAGGAUUAGAUACCCUGGUAGUCCACGCUGUAAAACGAUGUCGAUUUUGGAGGUUGUGCCCCUUGAGGCGUGGCUUCCGGAGCUAACGCGUUAAAUCGACCGCCUGGGGAGUACUGCCGCAAGGUUAAAACUCAAAUGAAUUG
rnacentral:rRNA from 1 species